rnacentral:rRNA from 1 species
UCCGUAGGUGAACCUGCGGAAGGAUCAUUACCAACAUUGAUAAACAGAGAUAAAGCCUUCACUCUUGCGGGUCUCAGGUGGACACAUGGGGAGGGUGCUUUCGUACGGUCAAGGUCAGGUGUCGUAAAUUACAGGCUGAUAUACCGUCGCAUCCUCCUCCCACCCUUUCGAGAAAGCAUGGUUUCACUCUUAUUAUUAUCUCAAACACUUGUAUACUUAUCCCACUUCUUCCGUGAACGAAAGUUCACGGACAUACACAUAACAUUCUGUUUUUAUAUUCAUGUCUGAUAAAACUAUAAUAAAGUUAAAACUUUCAACAACGGAUCUCUUGGUUCUCGCAUCGAUGAAGAACGCAGCGAAAUGCGAUACGUAGUGUGAAUUGCAGACUUCCGUGAAUCAUCGAAUCUUUGAACGCACAUUGCGCCCUCUGGUAUUCCGGAGGGCAUGCCUGUCUGAGCGUCAACUCAUCCUCAAACUUCAGUUUGGUCUUGGAAGACGAGAGCGUAAUAGCCCUCGCUUCUGGAAAUCAUUGGCAGUAGGCUCACGGCUUUCCGGCAACGGUAGUAAGGCACAUAUUCGUUGGCAUAGGAUUGGUGGUGGAGGAGGGGCUUGGCCAUCAACCCAAAUUUCUCAAGUUUGACCUCAGAUCAGGUAGGGAUACCCCCUGAACUUAA